rnacentral:rRNA from 1 species
UACUGAGUUUUUAACUCUCCAAACCAUGUGAACUUACCACUGUUGCCUCGGUGGCUGGUGCUGGAAACAGUGCUGCCACCGGUGGACUACUAAACUCUUGUUAAUUUUUGUCAAAUCUGAAUCAAACUAAGAAAUAAGUUAAAACUUUCAACAACGGAUCUCUUGGUUCUGGCAUCGAUGAAGAACGCAGCGAAAUGCGAUAAGUAAUGUGAAUUGCAGAAUUCAGUGAAUCAUCGAAUCUUUGAACGCACAUUGCGCCCAUUAGUAUUCUAGUGGGCAUGCCUGUUCGAGCGUCAUUUCAACCCUUAAGCCUAGCUUAGUGUUGGGAGACUGCCUAAUACGCAGCUCCUCAAAACCAGUGGCGGAGUCUGUUCGUGCUCUGAGCGUAGUAAUUUUUUAUCUCGCUUCUGCAAGCCGGCCAGACGACAGCCAUAAACCGCACCCUCUCGGGGGGCACUUUUUUAAUGGUUGACCUCGGAUCAGGUAGGAAUACCCGCUGAACUUAAGCAUAUCAAUAAGCGGAGGAAAAGAAACCAACAGGGAUUGCCCUAGUAACGGCGAGUGAAGCGGCAACAGCUCAAAUUUGAAAUCUGGCCUUCUGGUCCGAAUUGUAAUUUGUAGAGGAUGCUUUUUGGUUAGGUA